rnacentral:misc_RNA from 1 species
GAACGACUUUCUUAACUUUAUACAAAUCACUGCAUUUAUUUGUUUUAUCAAACUUGGUAAGGUAAAUCUCCUGCAUUACUACCUUAUUGAUCAUGCUAGCUUUUAUUUUUGGACUUGUGAAAUUGAGUAUAAAAAAUGAUUAUUUAGUGUGAUACGCACAGGUUGAUGUUGGAAUGUUUAGCACAUUAUUACAUGGGAGUGAUGGUUUUCUUGAGCCAAUACAAUGGAGAAUUGUUUAUUCAUCAUGGCAUUUGAUUAUUGUUAGUUUUUUAUCUUGGCAUUGAAGCAUUGUUCUUGUGAUGUUUAAGUAUAUACGAACUUUUUGGACAACCCUCGUAUAAGGAUCCAGGGAUUAUGGUUCAAUGUUAUACAUAGACAAAGUUCUAUCUAUAUAUUGUUAUCUAAUUAAUUCUUUUAUGUAUUAUAAAUAUUUACUAAACAUUUUAAUGUUAAACACUGAAUUUUACUAUGUUCAUCAUUAUUUGAAUAUAUUUCUAUCAUGUUACCCCAAGUCAUUAUUGAUAUCAGAUAGUUCAAAUAUUUACACUGUUAGGUGUUGAAUUCUGUAUAAAAUGGUUAAGAUGACUAAACUGUGAAUAACCUUAAACUGACCGUUAUUCUGCCUAACACUGAAUAAUAGAUGUUUAAUCAACUACUUAUCACUACAAUAUUAAUUACAGCAAAUCUCACAAGUUCUGCCUUGUGACAGGACUUUACAUCAAAGCACUAUCAAGCCUGUGGUUGUGAUCUCUUAAACAGCUGUAUUGUCAGAGUGUUCUGGGUUUGAUUUAUUUUUCAGACAGGUCUAUAUGAUAUAGAUGUACAUGUGUGUAAUCUCUGGGUAAAUAUACUUACAGAGUCAGGUUAGGGGUCACUGUCACCAUAGCAACUGCCACUGUCCAAGAAAUAUCACCAGCAGAAUACUCUGAUAGUGUAUGUCUGUUGAAGGACAAAUUCUAAAACAAGUGUUUGAGAGAAGAAACAUGCUGAUAUAUUUUUUUAAAAUCUUGAUUAUGGAUGAAGUUUAUGUUUAUUAAUGCUAUACUUGUCAUAUUAAGGUUGCACAGUGCAUGUAGUGAAUUUAAGGAACUUACAAAGCUGUGGUGUUAUAAGCUAGGAUUAACAUUUUCAAAAUUGUUGACUUGCUCAAAAGCAUAUAUUGGUGCAAUGUUUGUAUCACUCUUGCUAGUUUAGAUGUAAGAUUUAGAGGGAUACAGAAUGCACAUGUACAGAGAAACUGGCAUUGUCAAUCUCCCUACCUCAGAGGAUGCUACAGAAAGCAUUAUAUACCUUGAUAGGAUGGCACCCUAACAAAAAUAACUUGAAAGUUUAUAUUUUGGUCAAGAUAAGGUUGUACUUGAUGUUAUUUACAUUGUAUAUAAGAGUGGGAAAUCUUAGCAUUUUUAAGGUAGAACUUUCUAUUUAUGAUAGAUUAUUCUUUGAAAUACAGGUAGUAUGGAGCAAUGUGUAAGACAUUACUUAUAGUUUAUUUUAUUGUGGAGAAAUAUGAGAUCUCAAUCAUUUUUAGUCAUGUCUUUUUUGUACAGUCACCUUUUUAUGAGGGAUUUUAUUUUUUAGGGGGGGGGGGGGUUGAGGCUUCACAGUAGUUUGCUAGUGUGCAGUGUCUGUUACAUAUCCAUAGUGCUCUCAUAUUUCUCUGAUUUGUGAAUUUUAUUUCUGUUUUUGUUUACUACUUGAAAUAAUUUCGUUGUGCAAUAUGUGAUAUUUCAGAGGAUUUUUAUAAUAAAAGUCUUUUUGUAC